rnacentral:rRNA from 1 species
UACAGAGGGCUCAAGCGUUGUUCGGAUUCAUUGGGCGUAAAGGGUGCGUAGGCGGCGCGGUAAGUCGGGUGUGAAAUCUCGGGGCUUAACUCCGAGACUGCAUUCGAUACUGCCGUGCUUGAGGACGGGAGAGGAGACUGGAAUUUACGGUGUAGCGGUGAAAUGCGUAGAUAUCGUAAGGAAGACCAGUGGCGAAGGCGGGUCUCUGGACAGUUCCUGACGCUGAGGCACGAAGGUCAGGGGAGCAAACGGG